rnacentral:rRNA from 1 species
UACCGGCACCCCGAGUGGUCGGGACGAUUAUUGGGCCUAAAGCAUCCGUAGCCGGUUCUACAAGUCUUCCGUUAAAUCCACCUGCUUAACAGAUGGGCUGCGGAGGAUACUAUGGAGCUAGGAGGCGGGAGAGGCAAGCGGUACUUAGUGGGUAGGGGUAAAAAUCCGUUGAUCCAUUGAAGACCACCAGUGGCGAAGGCGGCUUGCCAGAACGCACUCGACGGUGAGGGAUGAAAGCUGGGGGGAGCAAACCGG